UUUCUUUUUUCUUUGUUUGUCCACGCACCCAGCCCAAGCCCACUCCCACUCCCACUCCCGAUAAUUCACAUCGACGAACCCUUCGCCUCCCCACAAAACUACCGGCGCCGCCGACCUCGACCCCGCCGCCGGCCAUGGCCUCCCCUGUACCUCCUCUCCCCUCGUCACAAGACAAGAGGCAGAGCAGGUCAGGCGCGCCGUAGCCAGAUCCAUCCGCCGACGUCCACCACGAGGACCUUGAUCUGCUUCCUCACCUCACCUCUCCUCAUCGCAGGCGGCGGCCAGAUCGAGAUUCCUCCGUCAAGGGCCAUGGCCAUGGCCUGAUUCCUCGGGACCCCGGACGCCGCUGCUCGUCCAAGGUCCGCUCGGGCCAUUUUCGAUUUCAUGAACCCAUGUUUCGAAAGACGCUGCUACGGAACACACGGUAAGCAUACAGAACGCUGGAUACGGUUGUGGAUAGCAGAGGAAUUGGAAACCAAGAUGGUUCCUGCGAACCAAACGGGUCGCUAGUUUGCUUGCUACCAAAGUGGUGUUUGCAGCUGUUCAAGAAGAAUAUGCAUCUCUCUUCUGCACACAUACAUGUCAAAGACGAGAUUCACAUGAAGGGUUUAGUCACUAGCACAAGGAUUCAGUACAACAUCGUCACUGAGUAAUGCAUAGGAGAAGGAAGGGUUCAUCUUGACAGCCAAGCCAAGCUAACAGAGGACUAGGGGGAAGCGCUCUUCUCCUGCUCAAGCAUGCCGGACAGGACGGCCGUCAGCAACAUGGACAUCGUGUACAACAACGUCAACGUGGAUGCUGCCAACAGGAAUGACAUCUUCAUCGGUAACACACAUGCAUGUAACGCAUGGAUUUUAUUCGUUUGCCAAAAAUGUUGCUGUUGAUAUGAUGAGUAUUACUCUGAUGUUGUUUUGGUGCAUGUUGUUUUGGUGCUGAUGAAUUGGCUAGCCAAUCACGUUUGUAAACUAGCUAGUGUCUGUUUGUGAGAUGUGCACGCACCCCUGGAAACUGUGUACCUUGCUGAUCUGGGGCCAGAAAUUUGCUAGCAUAGCAAAGCUGAUCAAGGGUCUUGGCAUUCUAUUUGUUGUUGUUCUUCCGUUCACUGACACAUGGAUAGAUGGAUCAUUGAGGCCAAGACGCUGGAAGAACAAGGAGGGCAAAAAAAGAACCCAUCCUGUAUCUAGAUUCUGUGUAUAAGUAUGUAUGACUAGUAAAGUUGUGAUGUUUUGAAUACAAGAAAUAGAAAUUCUUGAUAUCAUUUCUUUCA